UGCCAGCCGCCGCGGUAAUACAGAGGUCUCAAGCGUUGUUCGGAUUCAUUGGGCGUAAAGGGUGCGUAGGUGGCGGGGUAAGUCAGGUGUGAAAUUUCGGAGCUUAACUCCGAAACUGCAUUUGAUACUGCCUUGCUUGAGGACUGGAGAGGAGACUGGAAUUUACGGUGUAGCAGUGAAAUGCAUAGAGAUCGUAAGGAAGACCAGUGGCGUAGGCGGGUCUCUGGACAGUUCCUGACACUGAGGCACGAAGGCCAGGGGAGCAAACGGGAUUAGGUACCCCGGUAGUCCUGGCAGUAAACGGUGCACGUUUGGUGUGGGGGGAUUCGACCCCUUCCGCGCCGGAGCUAACGCGUUAAACGUGCCGCCUGGGGAGUACGGUCGCAAGACUAAAACUCAAAGAAAUUGACGGGGGCCCGCACAAGCGGUGGAGUAUGUGGCUUAAUUCGAUGCAACGCGAAGAACCUUACCAGGCCUUGACAUGCAUUUCUAAGCGGGUGAAAGCCCGUGAGUCUCGAAAGAGACAACUUGCACAGGUGCUGCAUGGCUGUCGUCAGCUCGUGUCGUGAGAUGUUGGGUUAAGUCCCGCAACGAGCGCAACCCCUGUGAACUGUUGCCACCCUCUUUAUUGAGGAGCACUCUGUUCAGACUGCCCCGUGAAACGGGGAGGAAGGUGGGGACGACGUCAAGUCAGUAUGGCCCUUACGGCCUGGGCUGCACACGUACUACAAUGCUCAGCACAGAACGAUCCGAGACCGCGAGGUGGAGGAAAUCUAGUAAAACUGAGCUCAGUUCGGAUUGGAGGCUGCAACUCGCCUCCAUGAAGCUGGAAUCGCUAGUAAUGCCGUAUCAGCUACGAUCGGCGUGAAUACGUUCCCCGGGCCUUGCACACACCGCCCGUC
rnacentral:rRNA from 1 species